CAAGUCCCUGGUAGGUUCGUCCUUGCUCUGAGGGAAGAGUGUGGGCCACAGGCCAUGGGGACACUCUGAGGAUGUGGGUGCUGCCCAUCUUGAAGUUUCUCCCCACCCCUCUCCGGAGCUGCUACCAUUGUCCUUUGCCCUCGGAGUGCUCUCCUCCCACCCCCGCCGCCUCUUGUUCUCUUUCUCCCUUGAGCCGUUAGAAUGGCAGGGAGCCCAGCCAGGGCCUGGACGGCGGCCUCAGCUCCCUGUUCUCAAUAAUUGUGUGUGUGUGCAUGUGUGCAUGUGUACGUGUGAGUGCCUGUGUGUGUGCAUUGUGUGUAGGGGCUGGGGCUGGAGUCGACAACAGAUCAGAGCACAGGAGUAGAGCGCUUCUGGGAGGGUGGGGCCACCCGUGAGUCACGUCCUGCACCCUGGAGCCCAGAGGACCCUUCGCUCAAACCCACCACCAGCUGGCAACACCGGACCAGACCAGCCGGAGCCGCUUUCUUCGCUGCGCAGAGGAGCCUGGGAGAAGCCAGAGGUGUAAGUCAAGCUGUGGAGGGACUGGGUGUGGCUGAGCCCCGUGACAAGUGGGAGGAGCCAGGGAUGCUUGGGAGGGGAGGCACUGUGCGCGAGAGAGGAGGGAAAGGGGAAGCGUUCGUGCCUCUCUGCCCCCUGUCCCCCUCUUGCUGCAUAGUAGCCACAUCCAUGUCUCUUGUACCCUGCAAUCUGGAGGCCACUGCCAGAAGCUGGAAAUCUCAAGUAGAGCAGCAAAAGGCUUGAGGAUGGAUUCUUGGCUCCUGGUGCAUUGCCACUCCCUGCCACCCUCCUCCUUGUCUUCUAUCUUCUCCUGGUGGCGUCAGGCCUUGCUUCGUGUCCCAACAGGAGCCUCUGGGGCUGGCACAGCCCUCACUGCCUACAACCUGGGCCUGGUGGUUCUCCUAGGGUGCCUCUGGGAGGUCAUGGUCACCCCGCUGCUGGCUAACUGCAGCUACUUCUGCCAGCCAGUGGACUACAGAUGGAGAAAGCAUGGAAUGAGGGUAUGGCAGGGAGCAGGAAGCAAGCCUGGAGAGGGUUAGGAGGAACAACUUCAUAACAAUCGGAGGUCAAGGAGGCAUCUUCCUGGAGACAGGAAGGUAGGCACUGUGGAAUCAGCGGUGCGUAGAACAGUGAGGAUUUGGGGCUGAACCCAGCCCAGGUGGGCCAAGCCGUGGCACCAGCCGGACUGCAGUCUGAUGGAACUUCCCCUUCCUGCCCAGCAGAUGGCGAGCGUGUGCUGCUGGUGCCUCUUUCCAAAGGACGUUGAAUUGCUUGACAGCCCUGCCCAGCAUCUAGAAGACCACCUGAAGCUUUCACACUUUGAGACCUUAGAUCCUGCGAGGGUUUGAAUUUCAAAAGCUUCAAUUAAAGCACACAGUGUUCUUUACUUUAUGAAUGAAGCCAGAGCAGCCCACCUUCCUGCAUCUCUACCACCAUGGCACCAUGCCCUGUGAUGGGUGGGCUGGAGUCAAAUAUGUAGCAGGCAGCCAGGGUCAGUUUGUGGCCACUGCUGCCCCCUCUUCCUACAGUCUCCUCACUGAGUGCCCCUUCCCUGUUGGGUUCAACACAUCUGUGCUCCUGUAAGCCCUCAGCCUCCUCGUUCUCUUCCUCAACUUCUACCACCAGACACAUCUGAGAAGCAAGCAAGAGAGGCUGAACUAGGAGCAGGACCCAGGGACUGAAACCAGCACAGCAUCCCCACAGAGAAUUGGGUGGAAGGCAGCAUGGCUUCCAGCUUACUGGUGCUGAGCAGAUUGCUCUGGGUCUCCAUUGUAUCCUCUGAAGGAAGGAGGAGGAUUGCCUUCUGUCCAGAUCUCAGGAUCAAACAAAUAGGUCCAAUUUCCUGUGCUCACUUCAGUUAGAGCACUUCUCAUGUGACUUUGUAGCUUUGUGUGCAUCUCCUUCCUCUACUAGACCUAAGCCCCUCACGGGAGGGACUCUCUUAUUCUUGAUGUUCCCCACACCUGGAAUUUCAAUAAACAUCUCAAUAAACGUGUGUGUUUGGAUCCUUGGAUCCCAUGACUGCCGUCAUAACCUUGGUGAAGAAGAGGGCUGGGAGUAGGAAAGAGGUCAAGGUUCGCUUGAUCUCUAACCCUAUAGUGGGAAAUUGUGACGGAGAAUAUUCAAGAGUGGGUGUGGGUCUGUUUGAUUUCAGGUGUAGCUGUGUAAAUAGUUAGCCCUGCAUAUAUUUUUGUCUACUCACAACUGCCUGCAUGUGUAUUCAUAGAGUUGUGUGAUUCUGUGUAUGUGCCUGGGGAGUGGGAGAGGGCCAUGUGCACAUGUCUGAAUACUUGUUUUCAAAUAUACAUGCAUGUUUCCAUUUGGGUUUCUCUCCAUUUGUGUUGUUUGCCUGCCUCUUCUGUAAGUCUCUGAAAGUGCCACAUUGGCAAAUAAAAGCCACUGGGAUCAAUAAUUCUCCUGUUCUGAUGGGAGACAUGGAAGCCCACUGAGAAAUCUCCGAAUACAUGUUCCACUAAGAGCUUCCAAAAAUAAAUGGGAAAAAAGGAGAAAUGGGGCACACCCAUCUUCUUCACAGAGAGGGAAACUGAGGACCAGCAAAGGGGAAUAUAUGACUGAGAUACUAUGGCAGAAGCAAAUAUUGGCUGAGCUGUUCAAACCCAGAAUAGGAUGGGUUUCUUGAAAGCAGUUUGCCUGGGAGCUGUCUCUAUGUCUCCAGUAUGAUGACUUUUCUCCUUUAUAAUUGCCCUUCGGCUGUUUUUCAUCUCUAGGUAAGUUCUUAUUUUGCCAUGCCUCAAUAGUCAAGAAAAUUAAAGAAUUGCUGAAGGUUAUGCAGUGCUAUUUGGGGACUGUGUCUCCAUCUGGCCUUUUAGUUAAUCAACCCAAGGCCAGGCAAGGCUACAUCCUGUGGACAGAAUACUCAGAGAAAAUUCC
rnacentral:lncRNA from 10 species